UACGGAGGGGGCUAGCGUUGUUCGGAAUUACUGGGCGUAAAGCGCGCGUAGACGGACCUGCAAGUCGGGGGUGAAAGCCCGAGGCUCAACCUCGGAACUGCCUUCGAUACUGCGGGUCUCGAGUCCGGGAGAGGUGAGUGGAAUUCCUAGUGUAGAGGUGAAAUUCGUAGAUAUUAGGAAGAACACCAGUGGCGAAGGCGGCUCACUGGCCCGGUACUGACGCUGAGGCGCGAAAGCGUGGGGAGCAAACAGG
rnacentral:rRNA from 1 species